rnacentral:lncRNA from 1 species
UUCCACAGGGUGGACACUUCCAUUGUCCCCAUUUUGCAGAUGAGGAAACAAGGAAUGAAGUCAGCCAGGAAGGCUGUGGGCACAGCACCUGACACGUGGCGAGAGCCCUGUAAAUAUCACUUUCCUUAUCAUUGCAUCUCCGAAAAGUUGAGUAACUUGUCCAGUGCCACGCCAGGAGAAGGAAGAGAAGCAGGACAGAUGCCAGGGCCACCUGUCUCCAAGUCCAUGAGUCCCCUGGCUGGGGCUGAAGGAAGAAGAGUUAGACCUGGAAAGGAUAGAGAUGAAAAAGCAAGCUAGACAUCCCUGAGCACCCACUAUGUGCCAUCCCUCCCACCCAGCUGCCCUGGGGGGUUGGGGAAAAACCAGGUUCUAUCAAGCGGGGCUACCAUUAAGGUCAGUCAAGGGAACUUCCCACUCCCUGGAGGGAGCACUGGAUUGAGAGUCCUGAGCCUACAGCUUUCAUCUCAAUUGCGCAUGACCCUGGCUUCAGUCUCCCCUUGUGCCAGGGUGCCCGCUCAGCCCCCUGCACAUUCGAGACUCUGUGAAUGUCUGCUGGCUGUUCUUCUCCUCCCAACUGUGGCCCUGUGCAAGGAGGGCCCCUUUCCUCCUUGAUGAUGUGACCUGGGCUCAGAGUCCACCCCAGAUCACGGCACGUUGAGUGGAUCACAGGACCUGCGGAAGGCAAGACACGACUGUGCCACACUGCCGCAUUGCAGAUGCUGUUACACA